rnacentral:rRNA from 1 species
UGCGUAGGCGGGUAUAUAAGUCGAAGGUGAAAGCCUCUAGCUCAACUAGAGAAGUGCCCUCGAAACUAUAUGUCUUGAGAGAGAUAGGGGCAUACGGAACUUCCGGUGGAGCGGUGAAAUGCGUAGAUAUCGGAAGGAACGCCGGUGGCGAAAGCGGUAUGCUGGAUCUUUUCUGACGCUGAGGCACGAAAGCUAGGGUAGCGAACG